UUUUCCUUCAUUUCCUCUGCCUCCCCACCCACUGCAUCCCCUUAGUGUAUGAAAACAGAACAAUUGUGGUUAAAGUGAGCUGGAGGAACGCUGGCUGUGAACUCUGAGGGAUCUUGGAAGAAGAAUGCAAACAAAGUAAAGAAGACAAUUUCCCAAAAUAUAAAUUGCUUCAUGGAGGAGGAGAAGUAGGAAGAUGAUGAAGAUGAGGAUGAGGACACUGUUGAUUUUCAUCACCAUCUUGGGCAACAUGGUAAAUACAACUUAUCAACAUAGACUCCAGUCAAGAAGCAAAAUGGAAAUAGACCAAUGUCCACGGAAGAAAUAGAGAAAGCAGUUGAAGAGCUCCCACAAAACGGCUGCAGUCCCGGAUGGCUUCACAGGAGAGUUCUACUAAACGCUCAGCAAUCAGAGAAUCCCCGGGCUACUUAAAUUAUCCCAGAACAUAGGGAAAGAAGGUA
rnacentral:lncRNA from 1 species